GACAGAGGUCCCGAGCGUUAGGCGGAAUCACUGGGCUUAAAGCGUGUGUAGGCGGAUUUGUAAGUACCUUGUGAAAUCCCACGGCUUAACCGUGGACUGCUGGGUAUACUGCGAAUCUUGGGCCAUCUAGGGGCUAGCGGAACAAACGGUGGAGCGGUGAAAUGCGUAGAUAUCGUUUGGAACGCCAAUGGUGAAAACAGCUAGCUGGGGAUGUGCCGACGCUGGAGACACGAAAGCCAGGGGAGCGAACGGG
rnacentral:rRNA from 1 species